rnacentral:rRNA from 1 species
UACGUAGGGGGCCAGCGUUGUUCGGAAUUACUGGGUGUAAAGGGUUCGUAGGCGGUGCGGCAAGUUGGGAGUGAAAUCUCUGGGCUCAACCCAGAGACGGCUUCCAAAACUGCUGUGCUUGAGUGUGGGAGAGGCUCGUGGAAUUGCAGGUGUAGCGGUGAAAUGCGUAGAUAUCUGCAGGAACACCCGUGGCGAAAGCGGCGAGCUGGACCACUACUGACGCUGAGUGAGCGAAAGCCAGGGGAGCAAACGGG